rnacentral:rRNA from 1 species
UACGUAGGGGGCAAGCGUUGUCCGGAAUCAUUGGGCGUAAAGAGCGUGUAGGCGGCUCGAUAAGUCUGCUGUGAAAGUCCAGGGCUCAACCCUGGAAGGCCGGUGGAAACUGUCGGGCUAGAGUCCGGAAGAGGCGAGUGGAAUUCCCGGUGUAGCGGUGAAAUGCGCAGAUAUCGGGAGGAACACCAAUGGCGAAGGCAGCUCGCUGGGACGGUACUGACGCUGAGACGCGAAAGCGUAGGGAGCAAACAGG